GGGUUGUGAGGUUAAGCGACUAAGCGUACACGGUGGAUGCCCUGGCAGUCAGAGGCGAUGAAGGACGUGCUAAUCUGCGAUAAGCGUCGGUAAGGUGAUAUGAACCGUUAUAACCGGCGAUUUCCGAAUGGGGAAACCCAGUGUGAUUCGUCACACUAUCAUUAACUGAAUCCAUAGGUUAAUGAGGCGAACCGGGGGAACUGAAACAUCUAAGUACCCCGAGGAAAAGAAAUCAACCGAGAUUCCCCCAGUAGCGGCGAGCGAACGGGGAGGAGCCCAGAGCCUGAAUCAGUGUGUGUGUUAGUGGAAGCGUCUGGAAAGGCGCGCGAUACAGGGUGACAGCCCCGUACACAAAAAUGCACAUGCUGUGAGCUCGAUGAGUAGGGCGGGACACGUGGUAUCCUGUCUGAAUAUGGGGGGACCAUCCUCCAAGGCUAAAUACUCCUGACUGACCGAUAGUGAACCAGUACCGUGAGGGAAAGGCGAAAAGAACCCCGGCGAGGGGAGUGAAAAAGAACCUGAAACCGUGUACGUACAAGCAGUGGGAGCACAGAGCAAUCUGUGUGACUGCGUACCUUUUGUAUAAUGGGUCAGCGACUUAUAUUCUGUAGCAAGGUUAACCGAAUAGGGGAGCCGAAGGGAAACCGAGUCUUAACCGGGCGUUAAGUUGCAGGGUAUAGACCCGAAACCCGGUGAUCUAGCCAUGGGCAGGUUGAAGGUUGGGUAACACUAACUGGAGGACCGAACCGACUAAUGUUGAAAAAUUAGCGGAUGACUUGUGGCUGGGGGUGAAAGGCCAAUCAAACCGGGAGAUAGCUGGUUCUCCCCGAAAGCUAUUUAGGUAGCGCCUCGUGAAUUCAUCUCCGGGGGUAGAGCACUGUUUCGGCAAGGGGGUCAUCCCGACUUACCAACCCGAUGCAAACUGCGAAUACCGGAGAAUGUUAUCACGGGAGACACACGGCGGGUGCUAACGUCCGUCGUGAAGAGGGAAACAACCCAGACCGCCAGCUAAGGUCCCAAAGUCAUGGUUAAGUGGGAAACGAUGUGGGAAGGCCCAGACAGCCAGGAUGUUGGCUUAGAAGCAGCCAUCAUUUAAAGAAAGCGUAAUAGCUCACUGGUCGAGUCGGCCUGCGCGGAAGAUGUAACGGGGCUAAACCAUGCACCGAAGCUGCGGCAGCGACACUGUGUGUUGUUGGGUAGGGGAGCGUUCUGUAAGCCUGUGAAGGUGUGCUGUGAGGCAUGCUGGAGGUAUCAGAAGUGCGAAUGCUGACAUAAGUAACGAUAAAGCGGGUGAAAAGCCCGCUCGCCGGAAGACCAAGGGUUCCUGUCCAACGUUAAUCGGGGCAGGGUGAGUCGACCCCUAAGGCGAGGCCGAAAGGCGUAGUCGAUGGGAAACAGGUUAAUAUUCCUGUACUUGGUGUUACUGCGAAGGGGGGACGGAGAAGGCUAUGUUGGCCGGGCGACGGUUGUCCCGGUUUAAGCGUGUAGGCUGGUUUUCCAGGCAAAUCCGGAAAAUCAAGGCUGAGGCGUGAUGACGAGGCACUACGGUGCUGAAGCAACAAAUGCCCUGCUUCCAGGAAAAGCCUCUAAGCAUCAGGUAACAUCAAAUCGUACCCCAAACCGACACAGGUGGUCAGGUAGAGAAUACCAAGGCGCUUGAGAGAACUCGGGUGAAGGAACUAGGCAAAAUGGUGCCGUAACUUCGGGAGAAGGCACGCUGAUAUGUAGGUGAAGUCCCUCGCGGAUGGAGCUGAAAUCAGUCGAAGAUACCAGCUGGCUGCAACUGUUUAUUAAAAACACAGCACUGUGCAAACACGAAAGUGGACGUAUACGGUGUGACGCCUGCCCGGUGCCGGAAGGUUAAUUGAUGGGGUCAGCGCAAGCGAAGCUCUUGAUCGAAGCCCCGGUAAACGGCGGCCGUAACUAUAACGGUCCUAAGGUAGCGAAAUUCCUUGUCGGGUAAGUUCCGACCUGCACGAAUGGCGUAAUGAUGGCCAGGCUGUCUCCACCCGAGACUCAGUGAAAUUGAACUCGCUGUGAAGAUGCAGUGUACCCGCGGCAAGACGGAAAGACCCCGUGAACCUUUACUAUAGCUUGACACUGAACAUUGAGCCUUGAUGUGUAGGAUAGGUGGGAGGCUUUGAAGUGUGGACGCCAGUCUGCAUGGAGCCGACCUUGAAAUACCACCCUUUAAUGUUUGAUGUUCUAACGUGGACCCGUGAUCCGGGUUGCGGACAGUGUCUGGUGGGUAGUUUGACUGGGGCGGUCUCCUCCUAAAGAGUAACGGAGGAGCACGAAGGUUGGCUAAUCCUGGUCGGACAUCAGGAGGUUAGUGCAAUGGCAUAAGCCAGCUUGACUGCGAGCGUGACGGCGCGAGCAGGUGCGAAAGCAGGUCAUAGUGAUCCGGUGGUUCUGAAUGGAAGGGCCAUCGCUCAACGGAUAAAAGGUACUCCGGGGAUAACAGGCUGAUACCGCCCAAGAGUUCAUAUCGACGGCGGUGUUUGGCACCUCGAUGUCGGCUCAUCACAUCCUGGGGCUGAAGUAGGUCCCAAGGGUAUGGCUGUUCGCCAUUUAAAGUGGUACGCGAGCUGGGUUUAGAACGUCGUGAGACAGUUCGGUCCCUAUCUGCCGUGGGCGCUGGAGAACUGAGGGGGGCUGCUCCUAGUACGAGAGGACCGGAGUGGACGCAUCACUGGUGUUCGGGUUGUCAUGCCAAUGGCACUGCCCGGUAGCUAAAUGCGGAAGAGAUAAGUGCUGAAAGCAUCUAAGCACGAAACUUGCCCCGAGAUGAGUUCUCCCUGACCCUUUAAGGGUCCUGAAGGAACGUUGAAGACGACGACGUUGAUAGGCCGGGUGUGUAAGCGCAGCGAUGCGUUGAGCUAACCGGUACUAAUGA
rnacentral:rRNA from 1 species